GCCGGGUUAGCUCAGUUGGUAGAGCAACGGAUUUGUAAUCCGUAGGUCGUCGGUUCGAAUCCGACACCCGGCU
rnacentral:tRNA from 1 species